rnacentral:rRNA from 1 species
GAUGAACGCUGGCGGCGUGCCUAAUACAUGCAAGUCGAGCGAACAGACGAGGAGCUUGCUCCUCUGACGUUAGCGGCGGACGGGUGAGUAACACGUGGAUAACCUACCUAUAAGACUGGGAUAACUUCGGGAAACCGGAGCUAAUACCGGAUAAUAUAUUGAACCGCAUGGUUCAAUAGUGAAAGACGGUUUUGCUGUCACUUAUAGAUGGAUCCGCGCCGCAUUAGCUAGUUGGUAAGGUAACGGCUUACCAAGGCAACGAUGCGUAGCCGACCUGAGAGGGUGAUCGGCCACACUGGAACUGAGACACGGUCCAGACUCCUACGGGAGGCAGCAGUAGGGAAUCUUCCGCAAUGGGCGAAAGCUUGACGGAGCAACGCCGAGUGAGUGAUGAAGGUCUUCGGAUCGUAAAACUCUGUUAUUAGGGAAGAACAAAUGUGUAAGUAACUAUGCACGUCUUGACGGUACCUAAUCAGAAAGCCACGGCUAACUACGUG